GACGAACGCUAGCGGCAGGCUUAAUACAUGCAAGUUGAGGGGCAGCAUGAUAUACGCGAGUAUAUUGAUGGCGACCGGCGGACGGGUGAGUAAUAGGUAGGAGACCUACCUCAUACAGGGGGAUAGCAUAGAGAAAUCUGUGGUAAUACCCCAUGAGGUUAUAUGAAUAGAGGCAUAUAAUCAAAGCAUAAGCGAUUAUGCGGUAUGAGAGGGGCCUACUGACCAUUAGCUAGUUGGUGAGGUAAGGGCUCACCAAGGCGAAGAUGGUUAGGGGUUUUGAGAGAGAGACCCCCCACAUUGGAACUGAGAGACGGUCCAGACUCCUACGGGAGGCAGCAGUAGGGAAUAUUGGGCAAUGGGCGAAAGCCUGACCCAGCCAUGCCGCGUGAAGGAAGACGGCCUUAUGGGUUGUAAACUUCUUUACUACGCGAAUAGAGGUUAGUACGAGAUACUAAUAGGAAGGUAGUGUAGUAAAAAGCAACCGGCUAACUCCGUGCCAG
rnacentral:rRNA from 1 species